UUUGUGAUUAACUACUCUAAAAACUGCUUGAUCGUCCUAUAACUACCCACUUUCUUUGUAGUGGUCAUUUUGUCAUGAAACUGCCUUUUAACUGCUGCCAUUAUCUUUCAUCGUUCAACCGCUUUCGAUUGAAUUCCUUGAGUUGUGGAACGUGAUAGGGCUACUUUAACAACUGCCUUGAUAACUGCAUUUCUUGAUAAC
rnacentral:lncRNA from 1 species